CCUACGGGCGGCUGCAGUGAGGAAUAUUGGUCAAUGGACGAGAGUCUGAACCAGCCAAGUAGCGUGAAGGAUGACUGCCCUAUGGGUUGUAAACUUCUUUUAUAUGGGAGUAAAAUGUUCCACGUGUGGGAUUUUGUCUGUAUCAUAUGAAUAAGGAUCGGCUAACUCAGUGCCAGCAGCCGCGGUAAUACGGAGGGUCCGAGCGUUAUCCGGAUUUAUUGGGUUUAAAGGGAGCGUAGGUGGAUUGUUAAGUCAGUUGUGAAAGUUUGGGGCUCAACCGUAAAAUUGCAGUUGAAACUGGCAGUCUUGAGUGCAGGAGAGGUAGGCGGAAUUCGUGGUGUAGCGGUGAAAUGCUUAGAUAUUACGAAUAACUCCGAUGGCGAAGGCAGCUCACUGGACUGCAACUGACACUGAGGCUCGAAAGUGUGGGUAGCAAACAGGAUUAGAUACCCUUGUAGUC
rnacentral:rRNA from 1 species